rnacentral:rRNA from 1 species
UUACGGGAGGCAGCAGUGGGGAAUAUUGCGCAAUGGGGGAAACCCUGACGCAGCGACGCCGUGUGAGGGAUGAAGGUCUUCGGAUCGUAAACCUCUGUCAGAAGGGAAGAACCACAUAGAGUUGAAUAAGCUCUGUGUCUGACGGUACCUUCAGAGGAAGCACCGGCUAACUCCGUGCCAGCAGCCGCGGUAAUACGGAGGGUGCAAGCGUUAAUCGGAAUCACUGGGCGUAAAGCGCGCGUAGGCGGCUUGAUAAGUCAGGCGUGAAAUCCCUCGGCUCAACCGGGGAACUGCGUUUGAUACUGUCAGGCUUGAGUGCCGGAGGGGGUGGCGGAAUUCCGGGUGUAGGAGUGAAAUCCGUAGAUAUCCGGAGGAACACCGGUGGCGAAGGCGGCCACCUGGACGGCAACUGACGCUGAGGCGCGAAAGCGUGGGGAGCAAACAGGCUUAGAUACCCUGGUAGU